rnacentral:rRNA from 1 species
AUUGAACGCUGGCGGCAGGCUUAACACAUGCAAGUCGAGCGAGCGGCGGACGGGCGAGUAAUGUCUGGGAAACUGCCUGAGGGAGGGGGAAAACUACUGGAAACGGUAGCUAAAACCGCAUACCCUCAGAUGCGCCCAGAUGGGCUUAGCUGGGAGGUGGGGUAAUGGCCCACCUAGGCGCCGCUCCCUAGCUGGUCGGAGAGGAUGACCAGCCACACUUGAACUGAGACACGGUCCAGACUCCUACGGGAGGCAGCAGUGGGGAAUAUUGCACAAUGGGCGCAAGCCUGAUGCAGCCAUGCCGCGUGUGUGAAGAAGGCCUUCGGGUUGUAAAGCACUUUCAGCGAGGAGGCGUUACUCGCAGAAGAAGCACCGGCUAACUCCGUGCCAGCAGCCGCGGUAAUAC